CAAGUAAUGCUUGCCACACUCAUCAGGUGAAUUUAAAUUCACCUGAUGAGUGUGGCAAGCAUUGCUUGUC
rnacentral:miRNA from 1 species